rnacentral:rRNA from 1 species
AUUGAACGCUGGCGGCAUGCCUUACACAUGCAAGUCGAACGGCAGCGCGGGAGCAAUCCUGGCGGCGAGUGGCGAACGGGUGAGUAAUAUAUCGGAACGUGCCCAGUAGUGGGGGAUAGCCCGGCGAAAGCCGGAUUAAUACCGCAUACGACCUGAGGGUGAAAGCGGGGGAUCGCAAGACCUCGCGCUACUGGAGCGGCCGAUAUCAGAUUAGCUAGUUGGUGGGGUAAAGGCCUACCAAGGCAACGAUCUGUAGUUGGUCUGAGAGGACGACCAGCCACACUGGGACUGAGACACGGCCCAGACUCCUACGGGAGGCAGCAGUGGGGAAUUUUGGACAAUGGGCGCAAGCCUGAUCCAGCAAUGCCGCGUGCAGGAAGAAGGCCUUCGGGUUGUAAACUGCUUUUGCCAGGGAAGAAAUCUUCUGGGCUAAUAUCCCGGGAGGAUGAC